rnacentral:misc_RNA from 1 species
UAGAAUUGUUCGAAUCCAUACGGACACAUUCUUAAAAUCCGUAUCCACACCGGCAGGGCCCUUUUUUUCGGGGCCUUUGCCGUAGGGUUCCUUUCUUCUUUUCUCGCUCUUAGGAGGGGGAAGAGGGGGGAGGUUCCUGUCUGACCUUUGCCUAUAAUUUAUCUUUUGUCUGAACUUUUUUAUUUUAUUAUAAAGUAAAA